rnacentral:rRNA from 1 species
GAUGAACGCUAGCGGCAGGCUUAAUACAUGCAAGUCGAGGGGCAGCAUGAAUGUAGCAAUACAUUUGAUGGCGACCGGCAAACGGGUGCGGAACACGUACACAACCUUCCUAUAAGUGGGGAAUAGCCCAGAGAAAUUUGGAUUAAUACCCCGUAACAUAACGAUGUGGCAUCACAUUGUUAUUAUAGCUUCGGCGCUUAUUGAUGGGUGUGCGGCUGAUUAGAUAGUUGGCGGGGUAACGGCCCACCAAGUCUACGAUCAGUAGCUGAUGUGAGAGCAUGAUCAGCCACACGGGCACUGAGACACGGGCCCGACUCCUACGGGAGGCAGCAGUAAGGAAUAUUGGUCAAUGGACGCAAGUCUGAACCAGCCAUGCCGCGUGAAGGAUUAAGGCCCUCUGGAUUGUAAACUUCUUUUAUCUGGGACGAAAAAAGGCUUUUCUAAGUCACUUGACGGUACCAGAUGAAUAAGCACCGGCUAACUCCGUGCCAGCAGCCGCCGCCGUAA